rnacentral:rRNA from 1 species
UGCCAGCCGCCGCGGUAAUACGUACUGUGCGAACGUUAUUCGGAAUCACUGGGCUUAAAGGGUGCGUAGGCGGCCAAUUAAGUAGGGUGUGAAAGACUACGGCUCAACCGUAGUUCUGCGCUCUAAACUGGUUGGCUUGAGUGAGAUAGGGGUGUGUGGAACUUCCAGUGGAGCGGUGAAAUGCGUUGAUAUUGGAAGGAACGCCGGUGGCGAAAGCGACACACUGGGUCUCAACUGACGCUGAGGCACGAAAGCUAGGGUAGCGAACGGGAUUAGAUA